UCCCCUUUCUGGAACCACAUUAAUCACAGCGCCUUUGUUCCCUCCAAAGCUCAUCACUCAUCAUCGCGAAGAACCCUCGCUCAUCACCCAGUCACCACUCACCGCCAGUCACCACCCACCACUCACCACAUCGCUACGCCGCUCACCACCUCACCACUCACCAGCUCACACUCUCAUCCUCACUCAACACACACACAAAAGAGGAAAAAAAUCAGAAAAGUGGAGAACAGGAAGAAGAAGAGAAGAAGAGAGCAGAGGGAAAGGAAGGAGAGGACGACGCCGGCUAGAGCUCCGCCGCGCGGACCAUCGUCGUUGCGCGCGCUGACCGUCGCCUCAGCAUCGCCAUCUCGUGCACUCACCGUCGCCGCUCAGCAUCAUCAUCGCGUGUGCUCACUGUCGCUGCUCAGCAUCGUCAUCGUCACUCAGCAUCGUCAUCGCCGCUCACCUGAGAAGAGCUAAUGCAGAUAGAAGCCAGAAGAUUGGGAAUUACUGAUCAAUGGUUCUUUAAGCUCUUCCUUCUCAUCACCGAUAUUGGAUCCGUGCAGCCUGUGUCAGGCGCUGAAUCUGUUCCAGGAAGGCAAAGUCAGUGGAAAGGAUACAAAGACUAAUGAGACUAAGGUUCGUUCACAUCUAGUGGUUCAAA